GACUUCAACUGAAAAAGUCAUCAACAACAAAGUUGUAUAAUCCAUCUAGAUCUACAGUUUUUAUUUUGGUCAUUUCUUUAUCCGAUAAAGUGAUAGUAACAUUGUUCACAAAUUUUACAUCUCUCUCAUAUGGUUUCAUAAAUUAUAAGAGAGAUGUGUAAAUUUUGUGAACAAUGUUACUAUCACUUUAUCGAAUGAAGAAAUGACCAAAAUAAAAGUUAUAGAUAUUGAUGAGUUAUACAACUUUGUUGUUGAUGACUUUUUCAGUUGAAAUC
rfam:Oryza glumipatula chromosome 11, whole genome shotgun sequence.